GACGAACGCUGGCGGCGUGCCUAAUACAUGCAAGUUGAGCGAUGAAGAUUGGUGCUUGCACCAAUUUGAAGAGCAGCGAACGGGUGAGUAACGCGUGGGGAAUCUGCCUUUGUGCGGGGGACAACAUUUGGAAACGAAUGCUAAUACCGCAUAACAACUUUAAACAUAAGUUUUAAGUUUGAAAGAUGCAAUUGCAUCACUCAAAGAUGAUCCCGCGUUGUAUUAGCUAGUUGGUGAGGUAAAGGCUCACCAAGGCGAUGAUACAUAGCCGACCUGAGAGGGUGAUCGGCCACAUUGGGACUGAGACACGGCCCAAACUCCUACGGGAGGCAGCAGUAGGGAAUCUUCGGCAAUGGACGAAAGUCUGACCGAGCAACGCCGCGUGAGUGAAGAAGGUUUUCGGAUCGUAAAACUCUGUUGGUAGAGAAGAACGUUGGUGAGAGUGGAAAGCUCAUCAAGUGACGGUAACUACCCAGAAAGGGACGGCUAACUACGUG
rnacentral:rRNA from 1 species